rnacentral:rRNA from 2 species
UAUGGCUCAGGAUGAACGCUAGCUACAGGCUUAACACAUGCAAGUCGAGGGGAAACGACAUCGAAAGCUUGCUUUUGAUGGGCGUCGACCGGCGCACGGGUGAGUAACGCGUAUCCAACCUGCCCAUCACUUGGGGAUAACCUUGCGAAAGUAAGACUAAUACCCAAUGAUAUCUCUAGAAGACAUCUGAAAGAGAUUAAAGAUUUAUCGGUGAUGGAUGGGGAUGCGUCUGAUUAGCUUGUUGGCGGGGUAACGGCCCACCAAGGCGACGAUCAGUAGGGGUUCUGAGAGGAAGGUCCCCCACAUUGGAACUGAGACACGGUCCAAACUCCUACGGGAGGCAGCAGUGAGGAAUAUUGGUCAAUGGGCGAGAGCCUGAACCAGCCAAGUAGCGUGCAGGAUGACGGCCCUAUGGGUUGUAAACUGCUUUUAUAAGGGAAUAAAGUGAGUCUCGUGAGACUUUUUGCAUGUACCUUAUGAAUAAGGACCGGCUAAUUCCGUGCCAGCAGCCGCGGUAAUACGGAAGGUCCGGGCGUUAUCCGGAUUUAUUGGGUUUAAAGGGAGCGUAGGCCGGAGAUUAAGCGUGUUGUGAAAUGUAGACGCUCAACGUCUGCACUGCAGCGCGAACUGGUUUCCUUGAGUACGCACAAAGUGGGCGGAAUUCGUGGUGUAGCGGUGAAAUGCUUAGAUAUCACAAAGAACUCCGAUUGCGAAGGCAGCUCACUGGAGCGCAACUGACGCUGAAGCUCGAAAGUGCGGGUAUCGAACAGGAUUAGAUACCCUGGUAGUCCGCACGGUAAACGAUGGAUGCCA